GUGAAGUGUUAGGCUCGCGCGGCGAAGUGCGCGGUGCGCUGCCCGCGGACGUGGUGAGAGUCCACUGCCCCCAACUACCAUUUAGAGGAAGGAGAAGUCCCCCGUAAAAAGGUUCCGUAGGUGAACCUGCGGAUAAGGAUCAU
rnacentral:rRNA from 1 species